ACACAGCAGGGAGGCUGAGAGGCUUUGCAGGCUCUCCCUGGGGAUGGUGGGGGCUCUGUGCUCUAGUGCUGGAGCAUCUGCAGCCUGGGGAGAUGUGUGUAGCGUGGCCUGGGAGCUGUUUCUGCUCAGCUUGGGGGUUGCUGCAAUGAUGCUGUGUGCUACUGGAGAGCUGAGCAGGGCCUGGACUGCUCCCAGGAGGAGAGGAAGGACAAGGAGCAGCUUCCUGUAGGUCGUGAUUUCAAUGUCCAGAGCCAGCUUGACAUUCAUCAGCUCCUGGUACUCACAGAGCUGCCGGGCCAGGUCUGCCUUGGUCUGCUGCAGAGCUACCUCCAGCUCAGAGAGUUUGCACUUUGCGUCCUUGAUGGAUGUUUCCCCACACUGCUCAGCAUUGGCCACAGCGGUUUCCAGUUUGCAGCGCUGCAAGGAGCAAGACACAGUCAGUCUUCAGUGUCUCUUGGUAUUUUCAAACGUAAUGCAUUAUCUAGAGGUGUAUUUAAAGUCUGGUUGUGCAUUCAGCCCAGCAGCAAGAUGGACAUGCAGUCCUCCCCAGCAGAGGUUUGAGGGAGCUGGGUGUGCAGUUUCAAUGCUUCCUCGUGCUGCUCGCAGGGGAUGGGAUGCUCUGACUGUAGCUGCCUUCAGGCAGUGCCUGAGUUGGACUUUAAUGCAGCCCCAGCCAGAACAGCAAAGUCCUGGCUACUGAGCAUCCUUUGCAGGGUGUACAGCACCAUUUAAUUUUGUGCUCACCUGGUCCUUGGCGUUCCUGACUUCUCCGUUCAGUUUCUGGAUUAUCCGUGUCAGCUCACUUAUUUCUUUUUUCGUCUCUCGCAGGCUAUCAGCAUUUCUGCCUGCAGUGACUCGCAGCUCCUCAAACUAAAAAAGCCCCAGAGACGUUGUUAUGUGUCUCAGAAAACACAUGCUUUGAGUUAAAUCAGAGCAUAUUAGGAGCGUGGGGGUGUUUAUCUCAUUUUUAAGGGAGAAAUUGCAUCUGAACCCUCCCUCUGGCAGUUUUUCUCACCUUGCUUUUGUACCAGGCUUCUGCUUCUGCCCGGCUCCUGCAGGCAGUGUCCUCGUACUGAGCCUUGACAUCAGCAAUGAUGCUGUCCAGGUUGAGGUCCCGGCUGUUGUCCAUCUGUACAAUCACCUGCGUAUCUGAGAUCUGAGUCUGCAGCUGCUGGGUUUCCUGGUGGUGACAGUGAGAUGCUGGUUCGGCUGUGCUCCCAGGCCAGCCCCUCACUGGUGUGUCAUGCACAUCAUGCAUCUUGCUCCCCCUUUGUGGUGACCAAGCAGAGAUGAAUUGCUGGGUCUCCCCGUUCACUGCAAGGGGUGACCUCUGCCCUGCAUUACCCCUUCUGCCCCUUUCUGUUGGGACAAACAGCUCCAAGACUGGACUGUGAAAUGCAAACAACGGCAGCGACAGGGAGGCUUCUUACCUCUUCGUAGAGCAUUCGCAGAAAGUCAACCUCUUCUUUCAGGCUUUCCACCUUGGCCUCCAGCUCUGCUUUUUUUAAGAAAAAACAGUCUGCGUCCUGAAGUCGUGUUGAGGAGAGAAGAAGGAAGUUCAUUAGCGAGAGCAGACUCGGGGCUACCCUUAGGGUAAGGGACUUUUGGUGCCGGUACCAUGACGGUGCGCCAGCUCCCAAUUACACAGUUGCUGCUGAUCUGAGUUCAAGCAAACCUGAGCACCAGCUCCUGUUUGUACUUGUUUUGCGUGCUGUUUUGGGGAAAUAAAUCUCUGUGUGCGCCCCAAAGACCCAAACCUGGAGAGGAAGGUUCAAAUGUCCCCUUGCUCACCUUCUUCAGGGCAAUAAACUCCUUCUCAGCACAGAUCCGCUGGCUGCAUUCAUCUUCAUACCUGCGUGGGAAAAUGGGAGAUUCUGAGUGCAGUGCAAUUACAUCCUUGUUUGGGAUUCUGCAGGCCUUAUUGCAAGAAAUGAAACUCCUCCUAUUUUUUUUUAAACUUCUCCCUAGAUGAUUUGGGAUGCUUUGUUCUUGUUUUGUAGCCCAUGGGAAAGCAAACGUUUUCAGAGAGGUUUCAGUGUUUUUACAAGUUUGCAGCAGAACUGUUUUGGUUCAGCUUCUGUACCAGAAAACAGUUGCUUAACUAUUCUACAUGUUAAUUCCUAGAAUUAGGAAAGAGACAGAGAACCUGGAAGAGACAUAUCCUGUUUUCUCCAUCUCCAUAAACUGGGACUUUGUUUUAUAUACCAGGAUGCUGUCAGAUCUCUCCGCCUACCUACAGGUUCUCUGGGAACUAUGUACUAUUGUGAAAAGUUCAUGAUCUCUGCCUUUUUAUGAACAACAUUUUGAGCCUUACACUCACAUUUCUGUCUUCAACUUACAUUUUCUUGUUGGUUUCCAGAGCCUCUUGCGCUGCCUUCAGGUCUGUUUGCAACAGGGCUCUGUUGCACCCCAGUGCUUCCAACUGCUUCCUUGAGUUACCGAUAUAAGCCUCUAGCAUGGGCAUGAUGAUAUUCCUGCAUUGCUUUUGACCCUGCAGAAAGCUCCACUUGGUCUCCAGCACCUCAUUCUGUUGCUCCAGUAAUCGAACCUGAAUCCCAGAAAGCAAAAUGGGAAACGAGAUGAGGGUUAAGUGUUUGUGAGAGCCAGUGUCCACGCAACAGCCGUGGAAUGCAUGGUCCUGCUCCUGGUCCACUUGAAUGCACUGUUCCCUACUCCAGUGUUCUUUUGUGCAUAUGCUUUUUCUGGGUAACUGAUGUGGAAAUGCACAAAAACCUAAAUGUUUCCAGAAAGGGAAAA